UACGGGGGGGGUAAGCGUUGUUCGGAAUUAUUGGGCGUAAAGGGCGCGUAGGCGGCUUGGCAAGUGGAAGGUGAAAUCCCUCGGCUUAACCGAGGAACUGCCCUCCAAACUGCUUCGCUUGAGACCGGGAGAGGUGAGUGGAAUUCCCAGUGUAGCGGUGAAAUGCGUAGAUAUUGGGAGGAACACCAGUGGCGAAGGCGGCUCACUGGACCGGUACUGACGCUGAUGCGCGAAAGCGUGGGGAGCAAACGGG
rnacentral:rRNA from 1 species